CUGUGAUGCCCUUAGAUGUUCUG
rnacentral:siRNA from 1 species